UUCAUUUCCAUUUUCUAACUAAGUUUUUAUUUUCUACUAAUUAACUCCUCCUUUGACUUGAUUUACUUGAUACUUGUGUACUUGUGAAAUUCAAAUUUUGCCGCUGUGAAUGUAUCUACCAAUCACGAAUAAGUGUUACGGAAUUUCGAUAUGUUCGAUUCGAUUCGAGACUUGAGCUGUAUGUCCUUUUUACAAAAGGAAAAUUGGGAAAUCUGUAAAUCCGACGAUUAUAACGCUUCCAUUCGGAAACAACGAUGACCUUCAGUGCUAUCAUACGGCCAAUCCGGUGACUCCAUUCGUCAUCGCAUUGCGUCCUCAUCAACAAAAUAAGUGCGAUCGAGAAGGAUCAAGUCACGCGGUUUUGAUAUUGAUCACAAAAUUACGUUAAACGAUAACAACACAUGGAACGAGUGGACAACAAAAUUGUUUCAUGAAAAUUACAUGGGAAGGGUGCGGUUAUAAAAUCGCCUGAGGCUCGGAUCAUAACUCUACAUUCGACACAACUACAAAUGAUACAAAUGAUAUUUGUAUCGAGUCGUUAACGUAGUAGCCAACUUAAAAUUGAAGUUCUCCGGUUGACCCUUCCCCGCGGUUGUAAGUCGCAGGUAUACGUUUGGCUGCAUCAGCACAACUCCCAAUCCUGCUACCGACGACGACGGAGUCGAACGUAGUGAUGGGAUGGAAUUAGGCAGCAGGAUGAAAUGAACACAAUUUACACUAAUUCAAGAUCUUGCCGGAAUACAUGCAUGGAUAUUAUAUAAAGAAACAACAGGAGAAAAUAUUUCAAGAAAAGGCAUUUUAUUCCCGUUAUCCGAUGAACUUGCAAUUAACUACAAAGAACUAACCGGUAGAUCUACAGAUCAAGUAGAAGGAAUAUCAUCAUCUAUAUUGUCACAAAAUCAGACACAUAUUUCGAUGAAACGUAAACGAAUAACAAACUAAUAAUAAAACGAACAACAUUUGUGGCACAUGCCAUAAACGAGUCUGUGGUAAAUGUUCUGCUAAAAUAUCUGUA